UAGAUGGAUGCUCGCUGGUUUGAGCGCUUAGCUGUUAACUAAGAGUUCGUGGAAUCGAAGUCCACCCGUCUAG
rnacentral:tRNA from 1 species